AAACCAACAGGGAUUGCCCCAGUAACGGCGAGUGAAGCGGCAACAGCUCAAAUUUGAAAUCUGGCUCUCGGGCCCGAGUUGUAAUUUGUAGAGGAUGCUUUUGGUGAGGUGCCUUCCGAGUUCCCUGGAACGGGACGCCAUAGAGGGUGAGAGCCCCGUCUGGUUGGACACCGAUCCUCUGUAAAGCUCCUUCGACGAGUCGAGUAGUUUGGGAAUGCUGCUCUAAAUGGGAGGUAUAUGUCUUCUAAAGCUAAAUACCGGCCAGAGACCGAUAGCGCACAAGUAGAGUGAUCGAAAGAUGAAAAGAACUUUGAAAAGAGAGUUAAACAGUACGUGAAAUUGUUGAAAGGGAAGCGCUUGUGACCAGACUUGGGCUUGGUUGAUCAUCCGGGGUUCUCCCCGGUGCACUCUUCCGGCUCAGGCCAGCAUCAGUUCGCCCUGGGGGAUAAAGGCUUCGGGAAUGUGGCUCUCUCCGGGGAGUGUUAUAGCCCGCUGCGUAAUACCCUGUGGCGGACUGAGGUUCGCGCAUUCGCAAGGAUGCUGGCGUAAUGGUCAUCAGUGAC
rnacentral:rRNA from 7 species